UGGCUUUAAAGGCAGUCGAGAAAUUCUCAGACAACACAUAAAAAAGAUUGGUUUCCGAUUUAAGAAGUCAAAAAGUAUUAGGAAGGUUUUGAUUGAAAGAAAUGAUAUAUCUGCUUGGCGAGCUAAAUACCUGCAGGUUUUAAAGGACAAUGAUGAGACACAUAAACUUCCAGUUGUGUACUUAGAUGAGACAUACAUUCAUUCUGGUCUAACUUUUGGAAAAUGUUGGCAGAAUUAUUAUGGCACAGAUGGUGUACUGAAUCCUAUAUGUAAAGGGCAAAGGUUUAUAAUAGUCCAUGCUGGCGGUGAGCAAGGCUUUGUGGAGAAUGCCUGUUUGGUAUUUAAAUCGCAAACAAAAAGUGGA